rnacentral:rRNA from 1 species
UACGAAGGGGGCUAGCGUUGUUCGGAAUUACUGGGCGUAAAGCGCGCGUAGGCGGACCUGCAAGUCGGGGGUGAAAGCCCGAGGCUCAACCUCGGAACUGCCUUCGAUACUGCGGGUCUCGAGUCCGGGAGAGGUGAGUGGAAUUCCUAGUGUAGAGGUGAAAUUCGUAGAUAUUAGGAAGAACACCAGUGGCGAAGGCGGCUCACUGGCCCGGUACUGACGCUGAGGCGCGGAAGCGUGGGGAGCAAACAGG